rnacentral:rRNA from 1 species
GCCAACGGGGGGAACUGAAAUAUCUUAGUACCCCCAGGAAAAGAAAGCAACCGCGAUUCCCUCAGUAGCGACGAGCGAACGGGGAAGAGCCCAAACCGGCUUGAUGUCAAAGCCUGCACGCGUUGUCAAGCCGGGGUAGCGGGAUCCGGAGGGGCGUGGGUGCAGACACGCCGGGGAGUUACAAAUCCAAAGGCUAGCCGAAGCGACAUGGAAAGGUCGCGCCAAAGAGGGUGAUAGCCCCGUAGGCGAAAGCUUUUGGACUCCCUGCUCCGGACUCCCAAGUACCGCGGGACACGAGAAAUCCCGUGGGAAUCUGCGAGGACCACCUCGUAAGGCUAAAUACUCUCCCGUGACCGAUAGUGCACCAGUACCGUGAGGGAAAGGUGAAAAGUACCCCUGGCGGGGAGUGAAAUAGGACCUGAAACCGUACGCCUACAAGCAGUCGGAGCCCCGACUCGUUCGGGGUGACGGCGUGCCUUUUGCUUAAUGAGCCGGGGAGUUGUCGUACGUUGCGAGGUUAAGCCGCUCAGCGGCGGAGCCGUAGCGAAAGCGAGUCCGAACAGGGCGCCUGAGUAACGUGCGGCAGACGCGAAACCGGGUGAUCUACCCAUGGCCAGGGUGAAGCGGCCGUAAAAGGUCGUGGAGGCCCGAACCGCACAACGUUGAAAAGUUGUCGGAUGAGCUGUGGGUAGGGGUGAAAGGCCAAUCAAACCCGGAGAUAGCUCGUUCUCCCCGAAAUAGCUUUAGGGCUAGCCUCGCGUUAGAGUGGUGGAGGUAGAGCACUGAUUGGGCUAGGGCCCUCACAAGGGUACCAACCCCAAACAAACUCCGAAUGCCACCACCUCGAUGCGCGGGAGUCAGGCCACGGGGGAUAAGCUUCGUGGCCGAAAGGGGAACAACCCAGACCGCCAGCUAAGGUCCCAAAGCGCAGGCUAAGUGGUAAAGGAUGUGCAGCCGCUAAGACAGCCAGGAUGUUGGCUUAGAAGCAGCCAUCAUUUAAAGAGUGCGUAACUGCUCACUGGUCGAGCGGCUGUGCGCCGACAAUACUCGGGGCUCAAGCCUGCCGCCGAAGCUGCGGUCCCGAUCUCGAUUCGUCGAGGUCGGGAGGUAGGGGAGCGUUCCGCUCGCCUGUGAAGCUCGACCGCGAGGUCGGGUGGAGGUCGCGGAAAUGAGUAUCCCGGCAUGAGUAGCGAUAAGGGAGGCGAGAAUCCUCCCCACCGAAAGCCUAAGGUUUCCUGAGUAAAGUUCGUCUGCUCAGGGUUAGCCGGCCCCUAAGCCGAGCCCGGGAUUCCCGGGGUAGGUGAUGGGAAGCAGGUUGAAUAUUCCUGCGCCACCUGGAAACCGCUUGACCUAUGGGGUGACGCAGAAGGGGCGGCCAGCCGGGUGAUGGAUGUCCCGGUCUAACCGCGUAGGGGGGCGCCGUAGGCAAAUCCGCGGCGCCAGUACCCCGAGACGGGAAUGGGAGGGCUUAGCCCACAAACUGGCCUCAACCACGCUGCCAAGAAAAGCCUCUAUGGGAGGUUUCCAGGUGACCGUACCGCAAACCGACACAGGUAGGCGGGGAGAGCAUCCUAAGGUGCGCGGGUGAGUCCUGGUCAAGGAACUAGGCAAAAUGGCCCCGUAACUUCGGGAGAAGGGGUGCCCCGAGUAGGUGAAGCCCCUCGCGGGUGGAGCUGAAAGGGGCCGCAGAGAAUCGGCCUGGGCGACUGUUUACUAAAAACACAGGUCUAUGCGAAGCCGCAAGGCGACGUAUAUGGACUGACACCUGCCCGGUGCCGGAAGGUUAAGGGGAAGGGUUAUCCCGCUUCGGCGGGAGAAGCUCUGAACCGAAGCCCCGGUAAACGGCGGCCGUAACUAUAACGGUCCUAAGGUAGCGAAAUUCCUUGUCGGGU